UGUUGUCUAUGAUAUUACCUGGCAUAAGUCAUCUAUAAAUAGUAUCAAUUUGAAAUGAUACAAUAGUGAUCAUUAACCUCUCAUGAGAUGUUCCCCCCCCCCCCCCAAAAAAAAAAAGUGGAAUAGUUCUUGAAUGUUUCUUGGGGACGUAGAUGGUUCUUUGAAUCUGGUCAUUGUUUUUGUUUUAUGCUGCCAUUAGUGUCUCUGCUUUCCAAAAAAUUUAUAAGAUUGUUUUUUCCCUUUUUUUUUUUGGGUACUUUGUGUUGAAAGUUGAGGGUGAGCUAUUGUUUCUUUUCAUCCCUUUGAGCGUUAUUAUUAUUAUUUUUAUGGCAUAAAAUUUCACCAUGCUACUCACUGCACACUUUGUUAACAUCUGAACAAUGAUAUUCCUAUCUAUGCAUCACGGGAAUCUACAUACAACGGAACUCUUUUUAGGGCUUCAUUGUGUUGCCUUGGACAGGAGAUGGGCCCCGGUGGUUCUAUGUCCUGAUCCUCCAGUAGCUGUUGGUAAUGCCAUCAGCAAAGAAACGCAAUAAUUAGCAAUAUCAUGAUGCAAGAAACCAUUUGCUAUAUUAUGUAAAUUUAUCUUCUUGCAUUUUUUUUUCUUU